UACUACAGAGGCGCUCGGGUUGUCGCUGACCUCUUGGUCGUGCACGCCCGAGUGCUCUCAAUCCAUUUCACCCUUUGUGCAUCACCGCGCGGGGUCUCUUCCUCUUGGCUUGCUUCAAGAGGGGGAGGUUCGCGUUUUUCAUACAAACACCCUUCUAGUUUUAGAAUGUCAUUCAUUUGCGAUCAUACGCAAUCAAUACAACUUUCAACAACGGAUCUCUUGGCUCUCGCAUCGAUGAAGAACGCAGCGAAAUGCGAUACGUAAUGUGAAUUGCAGAAUUCAGUGAAUCAUCGAAUCUUUGAACGCACCUUGCGCCCCUUGGUAUUCCGAGGGGCACACCCGUUUGAGUGUCGUGAAAUUCUCAAACCUUCUUGGUUUCUUGAUCAAGAUGGCUUUGGACUUUGGAGGCAUUUGCUGGCUUUGCGAAAAGCCAGCUCCUCUUGAAUGAAUUAGUGGGGUCCGCCGUGCCGAUCCUCGACGUGAUAAGUACGCUUCUACGUCUUGGGGUUUCGCACCGUUCUCGCUUCCAACUUCGAGUUGUGACUCGACCUUAUAAACCUUG
rnacentral:rRNA from 1 species